AUAGUUAGAGCACGACCUUACUUGAACAGGAUCUGUUCUAUAGGAUCGUACCUCUGUAUCCUUGAGUUCUAAGGAGACAGAAAACCAAGUCUGGUGGAUGAAUAAUGACCGUGCGAUUAGAGCGUGAUUAACGGCCACCGUUGAUCUUCGGAUCGCCGGUGCUGUAGAGGAUCGUUCCUCAGCUCCUUCGAGAGCCGGGGAUGGUCGCACGGUUGUCUGACAGACUCCCAAAUCUUUUUAAAUUUUUAUUUUCAUUUAUUUUGUAGUUUAAUUACUGCAACAUCGAGCUAAAAAUAAUUUCAGUAUAUUUUUUUUGAAAUUUUGAGAGACAAAAAUGAAAGGGAAAUUCGGAGGAAAGAAGGUUCCGACCGGAACACCGUCGUUGGCGAAGUCGUGUGUAGUGGUUGUUUUGUCGCUCCUCGGUGGUGCCUCUAUUGUCCACAACAUCUACAAACCUGACCUUACUUUGCCGCCUUUGGAAGAAGUGAGUGAAGAUAAGCCAAAGGAGAAGCAGUGAUGAUUGCAUCUAUCUCGUUGUCUGUCAUUUGCUCUAAGUUUGACUUGAGUAAUGAAAGAUGCCAUUAGAUCAGAAGACUUAGAUUUCGAGCUAAAUGUAUGAAUCUUUGAAAAGGGUCAUGUAAGGAUAUGAAGUAUACACUUUUUUAUUUCCCGAAACUAAGUGAUGAAACUUGCUGUUGAAUGAAGUUUAAUGUCAUGCAUGCUUGUUUUGAAGUAUGAUUAAAUA